GGGAAAGAGGGAGGGAGGCCUAACACAUGCAAGUCGAACGGCAGCACAGAAAGAGCUUGCUCUUACGGGUGGCGAGUGGCGGACGGGUGAGGAAUACAUCGGAAUCUACCUUUUCGUGGGGGAUAACGUAGGGAAACUUACGCUAAUACCGCAUACGACCUACGGGUGAAAGCAGGGGAUCUUCGGACCUUGCGCGAUUGAAUGAGCCGAUGUCGGAUUAGCUAGUUGGCGGGGUAAAGGCCCACCAAGGCGACGAUCCGUAGCUGGUCUGAGAGGAUGAUCAGCCACACUGGAACUGAGACACGGUCCAGACUCCUACGGGAGGCAGCAGUGGGGAAUAUUGGACAAUGGGCGCAAGCCUGAUCCAGCCAUACCGCGUGGGUGAAGAAGGCCUUCGGGUUGUAAAGCCCUUUUGUUGGGAAAGAAAAGCAGCAGGUUAAUACCCCGCUGUUCUGACGGUACCCAAAGAAUAAGCACCGGCUAACUUCGUG
rnacentral:rRNA from 1 species